UUGUUCUAAGAGGUUGCCGUUCUUGCCGU
rnacentral:piRNA from 1 species